UUAGAGGCACUGCCUGCCCAGUGACUAUAGUUUAACGGCCGCGGUAUCCUGACCGUGCAAAGGUAGCAUAAUCAUUUGUUCCUUAAUUAGGGACUAGUAUGAACGGCUAGACGAGGGAUCAACUGUCUCUUAUUUUUAAUCAGUGAAAUUGACCUUCCAGUGAAGAGGCUGGAAUACAAUAAUAAGACGAGAAGACCCUAUGGAGCUUAAAUUAACAAGCUUAAUUAUUACACUACUAUACCCUAAUGGCACAAAACAAAAAAUAUAAGCUUAAAAUUUUGGUUGGGGUGACCUCGGAGAAUAAAAAAUCCUCCGAAAGAUAUAUAACAUAGACCUACAAGUCAAAGUAACCCAAUUAUCCAAUUGACCCAAAAAAUUGAUCAACGGACCAAGUUACCCUAGGGAUAACAGCGCAAUCCUAUUUAAGAGUUCAUAUCGACAAUAGGGUUUACGACCUCGAUGUUGGAUCAGGACAUCCCAAUGGUGCAGAAGCUAUUAAUGGUUCGUUUGUUCAACGAUUAAAGUCCUACGUGAUCUA
rnacentral:rRNA from 1 species